UAGGGAAUCUUCCACAAUGGACGCAAGUCUGAUGGAGCAACGCCGCGUGAGUGAGGAAGGCUUUCGGGUCGUAAAACUCUGUUAUUGAAGAAGAACGUGUGUGACAGUAACUGGUCAUGCAGUGACGGUAUUCAAUCAGAAAGUCACGGCUAACUACGUGCCAGCAGCCGCGGUAAUACGUAGGUGGCAAGCGUUGUCCGGAUUUAUUGGGCGUAAAGCGAGUGCAGGCGGUCUUUUAAGUCUGAUGUGAAAGCCUUCGGCUUAACCGAAGAAGGGCAUCGGAAACUGGGAGACUUGAGUGCAGAAGAGGAGAGU
rnacentral:rRNA from 1 species